AUGGGAAGAUUCAUCCAUCCAGGAACUUACUUGUGUGGAAGUGUGCUGCUGCUGCAAGUUCCUGACUGUGCACAGUACUUCAUGGAGAAUCUGGACCUAUUAGCUGAAGCAGAUUACAUACCAACAAAGGUGUUAUUAACCACUCAUUUUCUUCAGCAUGAACAUCAUCUUGGUCGGCUAUUAACCAAGAAUGUGUUUGAUCCACACCAUAAGCGUAUUUCCAUCCAAAGAGGAAUUUAUUUGAACCGAGAAAGAGGGCACAGCAUUGAUCCAAUUCACAUCGAUGAUCCUCUUUUCCCUGCUAACAUUGUGGGCCGGAAUUGUUUCCGGGUCCACCACUGA
rnacentral:rRNA from 1 species